CACUUCGCCUGGAUCACGACACUCUUCUAGCUUACACAAUUUCCUAAAAUGAGUGCUGUGACCCGUUCGCACCGAAGAAAAAUGUCAAGCACAACAGAAGGAAUAAUUCAUAAAAAUAAAAUUCAUAAAAAUAAUUCAAAUCAGAGCUGUUUUCAAAAACGCUCUAACUUAUACAACUCUCGGCCAUUUCUAACAUUCAAAGGAAAUUUCGGACAUUGAAACAAUACAGUGAGAUAACAAGCAUCUAUAAACGUUAAAGCCUUAUUGAAGCGAGAAAUGAAACAGGUUUGGGAAAUCCGAAUAAAUGUGAUCACUUCGGAAAUGAAAAUUAGACAGGUCCGAGGUGUGAUUAUUUUGGCAGAUUUAAAAUUAACUUUAAAUAACUGAAACGCACAUAGUUUGCAAAACAAUCGUGCAAGCUACUAGGUACGACCGAGCAGCAAUUUUCCGUUUUUGUAAAAGACUGAAGUUAAAGAAUGAAAACUAUUCAUUUAAUAAUAUAUUACUUAUUUUAUUAAAUCUAUGUUAAAAAAAGACACCUUUAUAAAAUUAUGCUUAUAUAAAGUGCAAAGUUUGGACUUAUGGCCGAUCAACAUUAAUAUGUACGUUUUGGUGUGUUUGCCUUGAAGUCAAAUGAAAUUAUGUUUUA